rnacentral:rRNA from 1 species
GACGAACCGUGCGAACGUUGUUCGGAAUCACUGGGCUUAAAGGGCGCGUAGGCGGGCCAUAAAGUCAGGGGUGAAAAUCCUCCAGCUUAACUGGAGAACUGCCUUUGAUACUGAUGGUCUCGAGUAAGGUAGGGGCAUGCGGAACUGAUGGUGGAGCGGUGAAAUGUGUUGAUAUCAUCAGGAACUCCGGUGGCGAAGGCGGCAUGCUGGACCUUCACUGACGCUGAGGCGCGAAAGCUAGGGGAGCGAACGGG